rnacentral:rRNA from 1 species
AACGCGAAGAACCUUACCAAGGUUUGACAUGGGCCGAAAACUCGUAGAGAUACGGGGUCCUUCGGGGCGGUUCACAGGUGGUGCAUGGCUGUCGUCAGCUCGUGUCGUGAGAUGUUGGGUUAAGUCCCGCAACGAGCGCAACCCUCGUCCUAUGUUGCCAGCGGGUUAUGCCGGGAACUCAUGGGAGACUGCCGGGGUCAACUCGGAGGAAGGUGGGGAUGGACGUCAAGUCCUCAUGCCCCUUAUGUCUUGGGCUGCAAACAUGCUACAAUGGCCGGUACAAAGGGUUGCGAGACCGCAAGGUGGAGCGAAUCCCAAAAAGCCGGUCUCAGUUCGGAUUGGGGUCUGCAACUCGACCCCAUGAAGUCGGAGUCGCUAGUAAUCGCGAAUCAGCAACGUCGCGGUGAAUACGUUCCCGGGCCUUGUACACACCGCUCGCGA